GAAGGCGGCCUAGGGACGCACGCAGGCUCGGCUGUCUCUUUAGGCCACGGAGCCGCGUAGAUCCGGAGCCCCGGGCGACUGAUCUGUCCCCAUUGGGCGAGACCUACCUAGACAAAGGCCUUAACGUACCGACAAAGGCCUUAAGGGGCCUGGGAGGCAUGAAACUUCAGAGCCCUGAGCUGCCAUGUAAGAAGUCUAGCUAGCAAUGCCACCAUGCUGGAGAGAUGAAGAGGGAAAACUACAAACAGAUACAAACAGAGUGAGACACUCAAGAAGCCCUAGUUGUGGAAUACAGCAGUGCUAUGGAGGCUUGACAUAACCAUCUACUUUUCCAGAAACCCACAUUGUCUAAGGUAAAAUAACUGCUCUGGAAAAGAAGGCAAGAAAGUAAAACAAGGCAAUUUCACCACAGCCAUCAUCAGGAACUCAGGUGCAAUUUGACUUAAAGCAGCUUGAAAUUUUAAAAGAAAAACAGAAAAUGCAAUCUGUUUUCUCAUUUGGUCUGUUUCCUCUUUAAACAAGCACACUCUAUCUCUCUAAAGAUUUCCCCCUAAAAAGAAAACACAUUGCACAGCUUGACCUAUAAUUUAAAUCACAAUUAAGCUUCCAGUUAGAAUGUAUCUUCAUCAUAAAUCUACUAUAAAUCCCCCAGUGUUCUGUUAAAUUACCUUAGCCUCUUAAACAGCAGGACCCCAGUUUUAUUUUCCCUAGUUAUAAAAUGCUGGAUUAUAGCUUAUUUAUGAGUUUCAUGAAUAAGACAAAUUUGACUGCCAUUCACAAAGAAAUUCUCACCAGGUUAUUAUAUUCCUAGAUCCUAUUAACUAAUAAAAAUACAGAAACUAAAAAUUACUCCAAAUUAGUCAUUCAAGUAGAAAUGCUUGCAAGACUUCUUUGUAUAAAAAGAAGAUGCCACCAAACAGCACUAUUAAGAACAUUUCCUCCUAUUGCUCCUGGUCAUCACUGCUACCUCUGCUAAAUCCAAUCUGCUUUUUAUAAACAUUUAUAAAUCUACCUUUUAGCCUGCUAUAGCAAUCAUUCCUGAGGGACAUUGCUUUUUCACUAGGAAUUUACUCCUCAUGAGCAGUGCCUAAAGUGGUUCAGAUUUUAUGUUCUUGACCUAAAUCUGGGUACCCACUAUAAAUCCAAACUCGACGGAGAAUGUCCAAGCGUCUGGUAAAAUGGGUCAUCUGGGGUUUCAAAGAUUUCAGGGCUUCCAUAGUCACAUG